UAGUUUUUUUACAGCUGCCUGUAGGACCUUCUACACUUCAAAGUGAAUGUAUUUGUAUAUUUAUCCUGAAAUAGGUCCUUAAUAGGCUAUACAUUAUUAGAAGGGGGAUUCUUCACUUGCAUGUGAAAGGGUUAAAUGCAACUAUUCAUUGUUGUCACACUAUGCCAUCAAAACUAACUUUGUGUUUUUUUUCUUCUUCAUUUGCAUAUUUAUGGGACACUGAAGACCAUUCAAAGCUCACGGCAGAAAAGAUGGCACAGGUGUGGAAGGUCGUCGAAUUCAAAGAUAGGAGCACUACCAUAGUGCCAAGCAGCUGGUUGGAGGAGGCAGGGGAGUCAUGGAAUUGUUUCUGGCCUCCUAGUUCUUAUGAUCAUAUCCGCCUCCAGAAGGCAGUCGCGCACCACCUUCCUCCAGGUGCAGCGUGGGACGUGCACGGUGACGUGAGGGUCUUGGUUAGCUGUGGCCAAACUCACGCUACCUGCAGGAGCCAGCUGGAAGAGUCCAGACCACUAGGGGCCCGCCGCAACACUUUUUUGAAGGUGUGGACACUGAUGACGAGGCACCACCCCCCCUAAGGAAAACAGCCCGACAAUCUGUAGAUGUAGGGCCAGACAUCAAUAGUGAGUGGCUAUUUGGGCCAUCGACCACCCAAAGAGCUCAAUCAAAUGGCAGCCAGAGACUUGAGCUACUACAUCUAGAUACAGUCCAACCAAGCCACCAGCUAUUGCAUGUUA